AUGAAUAUUAGGACACUCUCUUCAUCAGAGAGGUCCGACCCUUCAUUUCCAACACUGUGAACCAUUACAACUGGGGAACGCGAAAGCUACUACCCGGUUACCCAUUUUAAAACUCUACAAGUUUAAGAAUGUAAAAACCUAAAACAAAGAA
rnacentral:misc_RNA from 1 species